CCCCCGCACGGCGCCCCGCCCCCUCGACGCCCCCUCCUCGCCGAGGCGGGGAGGAGCUCAGUAGAGGGAGGGGUCUGGAGAGGGAUGGAGAACAGAGAGCAAGGCUCAGGAGAGCGCAGGGGACCUGAGAGGGGUAGGGGAGUAUUUGCUGUACCUACCACUGACUCUGCAGGGAUCCGGGAGAACCUAAGUGACUUGUGAGAUGCCGUGGACCCUGGGGAGAAUGGCCCAUUCUGUGCAUACCUGGAGGCUCUGGCCAACAGUUCCCCCAGAAUUCUCCAAGUGGGGGCAGCGGAAGAGGUGGGCCCCACCCACUCUUCAGCAACCCAAAAUCUUACAGGCAGACCCAGAACAGCACGGUGUCCUUUAUGUCCCCCAGCAGAGUAACCUGAAGAUGCUGUGUAGCCCGGAGAGGGGCUGAAGGGUGCAUGACUGGGGUCUGGUUUGGCUCUAGACCAAUCUGAACCCAAAGGUAGAAACACGCUGGGUUCUGAAAGCCAGGCUGAAGGCUGCUAAACUGACAAAUUCAUCCCAAGUCCAUCUCCAGGCAGUCUGGGCUGUGUCAGGGUAUGGCCAAGUCUCCAGCUGUGGGGAGGCCCAGCACAACCCUUGUUCCAGGCACCCCCCACCCCCCGCGCCACCACCCCCACAUUCUUUCUUUGUUGUGAAAGCAGCAAGGGGUGUAGGAGGCGGGUCAGGAGGAGUCAAGCUUUAGAAGAUGGGCCCCAGCUGCUGCUCAGGCCUCCAAGAUAUGCUGAGAGGGGAUGGAUAGUGCCUUGUCUCCCCUCUGGCUCCGGAGGGCCCCCCAGGCCUGCUUAGUCCUCCCUUCCCCCAAGCAGCUGGGAGAACGAAUGGCAGCCACAGAGGGCCUCACAGCCAGGAGAAGUGGCGCCAGGACUCCAGGGUCCUGCCACAUGGCCACCACAUGUCCCUGACAACCCAGUCCACAGCACCUUUUCCUUGGGUUGUGGGCCUCCUUCUUCCCCAUCCCCCAGAUGCCUUCCUACAGGCCCUGCUGGAGAUGAUACAAACAAGGGGAGGAAGAGAAGAGAGAUCCAAGAAUCAACACUCCUCCUGCUGCCCCAUCCAUCACUGCCCCUCACCCUCUGUGAAGGGCUCCAACACAAGCCCUGCUUCAUACCCUCUUCAAUCAGGACUCAAGUCGCAGAAAGCUCAGGGACCUCAGCCUCCCAAAGACUGUCUCCUGGAGUCCAUCCAUCCAAUGGCCACAGUGUAUCUCUGGACCUAGGAUCACAUCCAUCUCUGGACCAGUCUAUCUCUGGACCUGGGACUUUGUUUAGCCUCUGCUAGGGUUUUCCAGAAGGCCACAAUCUGGUGGAGAAGCUCUCUGGAAGAACCACAUGAAUACUGGCAUAUACUCUGAGUGUGUUCAUAUAAGAAGUCAUUUGCCAUUAAAAUAUCAUUACUGUUUUCUCA